rnacentral:rRNA from 1 species
GACGAACUGUCCUAACGUUGUUCGGAAUCACUGGGCUUAAAGGGCGCGUAGGCGGUCCAUCAAGUCAGGGGUGAAAUCCUGCAGCUUAACUGCAGAAGUGCCUUUGAUACUGGUGGUCUGGAGGGAGAUAGGGGUGUGUGGAACUCACAGUGGAGCGGUGAAAUGCGUUGAUAUUGUGAGGAACGCCGGAGGCGAAAGCGACGCACUGGAUCUCUUCUGACGCUGAGGUGCGAAAGCGUGGGGAGCAAACAGG